rnacentral:rRNA from 1 species
UACGAAGGGGGCUAGCGUUGUUCGGAUUUACUGGGCGUAAAGCGCACGUAGGCGGAUCGUUAAGUCGGGGGUGAAAUCCUGGAGCUCAACUCCAGAACUGCCUUCGAUACUGGCGAUCUAGAGUCCGGAAGAGGUGAGUGGAACUCCUAGUGUAGAGGUGGAAUUCGUAGAUAUUAGGAAGAACACCAGUGGCGAAGGCGGCUCACUGGUCCGGUACGGACGCUGAGGUGCGAAAGCGUGGGGAGCAAACAGG